CCUGGCGAUCAGUGGGGUGACAGAUGUCACAGCCAGAUUGCCCUCACAUGGCAAGUUAGAGAACCAAGGGAUGGGUGUGAAGUAAGGAGCACCAAGCCUACAAAAUUUGCAAGACUGAGGGUCCACGAGAAUUAGAGAACUAGAAAAAAUGGAGGAAGGGGGAAAAAGAAGAGGGGAUUGCUAAAUCCUUUUCUCUGCAGCCCCGGAAAGUUGGGAAAUCUUCUGGAACAGCGUUAACAGAUCCAAUUACCUGAUGCAAGACCCAGGGGAGCCUGCAUUUGGGGCAUCAAGGAGCAUGCUUUUACACCUGCUUCACCCUAGUCUCCUUCCUGGGAUCCUUAUAAAAGAGGAGCUAUG